rnacentral:misc_RNA from 1 species
GUGCUUUCAUCCUGAGCAGGACAGGAUUCUUACAGUUCGUGAAUGUGCUCGAUCUCAAGGAUUUCCCGAUAGCUACAAGUUUGCUGGUAACAUCCAACAUAAACAUCGGCAAAUUGGAAAUGCUGUUCCCCCACCAUUGGCAUAUGCAUUGGGGACUAAGCUCAAGGAGGCAAUGAACAAGAAGGCCAAAUAGUGAGAAUGGCUCCUACAAGUCGGC